GACGAACGCUGGCGGCGUGCCUAAUACAUGCAAGUAGAACGCACAGUUUAUACCGUAGCUUGCUACACCAUAGACUGUGAGUUGCGAACGGGUGAGUAACGCGUAGGUAACCUGCCUGGUAGCGGGGGAUAACUAUUGGAAACGAUAGCUAAUACCGCAUAAUAUUGAUUAUUGCAUGAUAAUUGAUUGAAAGAUGCUAUUGCAUCACUACCAGAUGGACCUGCGUUGUAUUAGCUAGUAGGUGAGGUAACGGCUCACCUAGGCGACGAUACAUAGCCGACCUGAGAGGGUGAUCGGCCACACUGGGACUGAGACACGGCCCAGACUCCUACGGGAGGCAGCAGUAGGGAAUCUUCGGCAAUGGACGAAAGUCUGACCGAGCAACGCCGCGUGAGUGAAGAAGGUUUUCGGAUCGUAAAGCUCUGUUGUAAGAGAAGAACGGGUGUGAGAGUGGAAAGUUCACACUGUGACGGUAUCUUACCAGAAAGGGACGGCUAACUACAUG
rnacentral:rRNA from 1 species